rnacentral:tRNA from 1 species
UCCCUGGUGAUCCAAUGGUUAGGAUUUCAUGCUUCCAUUGCAGAGGGCACAGGUUCAAUCCCUGGUCAGGGAA